rnacentral:rRNA from 1 species
CAGUCGCCGCGGUAAUACGUAGGGUGCAAGCGUUAAUCGGAAUUACUGGGCGUAAAGCGUGCGCAGGCGGUUUGUUAAGACAGAUGUGAAAUCCCCGGGCUCAACCUGGGAACUGCAUUUGUGACUGGCAAGCUAGAGUGUGGCAGAGGGGGGUGGAAUUCCGCGUGUAGCAGUGAAAUGCGUAGAUAUCGAGAGGAACACUAGUGGCGAAGGCGAGAUCCUGGACAAUUUCUGACGCUGAUGCACGAAGGCCAGGGUAGCGAACGGGAUUAGAGACCCCUGUAGUCCCUGUCUCUUAUAC